rnacentral:misc_RNA from 1 species
CACGCAAGUACUUCUCUCACAUUUUCUCUCUGAGGCCCAUGUUUUUUCUCUCUCCAAGACAAUUCCCCAGUCUCAAACUCUCAAUAACGAAAGCACAAAAAUUUCUCAUAAGCCAAUCCAAGAAAAGAAAAAAUCAUUAAGCAACUAAAACAUGGCUCUACUUGUCUCUGCCUCUUGCAUGCCCAAAUCUUUACUAUCACCAACAUCACUAAAACAAAUCUCCCUCAAAGCCCCAGGCCCUUUGUUUACUAGUGAAAAACUGCCAACGAGAUCUCUGAACUUCUCUCCCCUUAAAGUGGCAGCACCCCCAUCACCAUCUGUUGAGAAAGAAGAGGAAGAAGAAGAUAAAGAAGGGGACUUUAGAAUUGAUGAUGAGAGUGGAGAAGAGAGUUCUGACUCUAAGUUCUCUUGGAGGGAUCACUGGUACCCGGUUUCCUUGGUUGAGGAUUUGGACCCUUGUUUGCCAACCCCAUUUCAGCUUCUGGAUCGAGACUUAGUUCUUUGGUUUGAUAAGGCCAGUCAAGAAUGGGUUACUUUUGAUGAUAAGUGUCCCCACAGGCUCGCUCCUUUAUCUGAAGGGCGGAUUGAUGAGAAUGGGCAUUUGCAAUGUUCAUACCAUGGAUGGUCAUUUGAUGGGUGCGGAUCUUGCACAAGUAUACCGCAGGCCUUGCCUGAGGGUCCUGAAGCUCGUGCAGUUAAGUCCCCCAGAGCUUGUGCUACCAGAUUUCCUUCAAUGGUGUCCCAAGGUCUUCUCUUUGUUUGGCCAGACGAAAAUGGAUGGGAAAGAGCUAAGGCAACCAAGCCUCCAAUGUGAUUGAUCCUUCCUUAUUUCUUGUUACCAG